GAUGAACGCUGGCGGCGUGCUUAACACAUGCAAGUCGAACGGAAAGGCUCCUGCUUGCAGGGGUACUCGAGUGGCGAACGGGUGAGUAACACGUGGGUGAUCUGCCCUGCACUUCGGGAUAAGCCUGGGAAACUGGGUCUAAUACCGGAUAGGACGAUGGUUUGGAUGCCAUUGUGGAAAGUUUUUCGGUGUGGGAUGAGCUCGCGGCCUAUCAGCUUGUUGGUGGGGUAAUGGCCUACCAAGGCGUCGACGGGUAGCCGGCCUGAGAGGGUGUACGGCCACAUUGGGACUGAGAUACGGCCCAGACUCCUACGGGAGGCAGCAGUGGGGAAUAUUGCACAAUGGGCGCAAGCCUGAUGCAGCGACGCCGCGUGGGGGAUGACGGCCUUCGGGUUGUAAACUCCUUUCGCUAGGGACGAAGCGUUUUGUGACGGUACCUGGAGAAGAAGCACCGGCUAACUACAU
rnacentral:rRNA from 1 species